CAAUGUACAAGCUACAUCAUAAUUUAUGCAUUAUUUCUAACAAAUCUCAUAAAACCUUCAAGGUUUGGAGGUGGUUGUGUUGGCGGUGGUGGAAAUGAAGCUUGUUCGUCACACAAAUCUCAUAAAACCUUCAAGGUUGGGAGGUGGUUGUGUUGGCGGUGGUGGAAAUGAAGCUUGUUCAUCGCCACUUCCGGGUGAAAUUGCUUCUUGAGCAAGUUCUGCUCUCAUUUCUUCAUACGCCUCAUCUAUUUCUGGUUGUGAUUCUGCUAGGCCAAAGUUCCUUCUUUCUGCGCGGAUCCAAACUCGAAAAAGCACUGAUUUCUC
rnacentral:lncRNA from 1 species